rnacentral:rRNA from 1 species
GACGAACGCUGGCGGCGUGCCUAAUACAUGCAAGUUGAGCGCUGAAGGUUGGUACUUGUACCGACUGGAUGAGCAGCGAACGGGUGAGUAACGCGUGGGGAAUCUGCCUUUGAGCGGGGGACAACAUUUGGAAACGAAUGCUAAUACCGCAUAAAAACUUUAAACACAAGUUUUAAGUUUGAAAGAUGCAAUUGCAUCACUCAAAGAUGAUCCCGCGUUGUAUUAGCUAGUUGGUGAGGUAAAGGCUCACCAAGGCGAUGAUACAUAGCCGACCUGAGAGGGUGAUCGGCCACAUUGGGACUGAGACACGGCCCAAACUCCUACGGGAGGCAGCAGUAGGGAAUCUUCGGAAAUGGACGAAAGUCUGACCGCGCAACGCCGCGGGAGUGAAGAAGGUUUUCGGAUCGUAAAACUCUGUUGGUAGAGAAGAAAGUUGGUGAGAGUGGAAAGCUCAUCAAGUGACGGUAACUACACAGAAAGGGACGGCUAACUACGUG